AAGUCGUAACAAGGUCUCCGUUGGUGAACCAGCGGAGGGAUCAUUACUGAGUCGUAAAAAACUCCCAAACCCAUUGACUUACCUAUGUUGCUCGGCAGGACCUACCCCGGGACCUACCCUGUAGCUACCUUUGUAGCCCUGCCGGUGGACCAUCUAAACUCUCGUUUUUUUUCAAUGAAAAUCUGAACGUCUUAUUAAAUAAGUCAAAACG
rnacentral:misc_RNA from 1 species